AUUGAACGCUGGCGGCAUGCUUUACACAUGCAAGUCGAACGGCAGCGCGGGCUUCGGCCUGGCGGCGAGUGGCGAACGGGUGAGUAAUACAUCGGAACGUGCCCAGUAGUGGGGGAUAGCUCGGCGAAAGCCGGAUUAAUACCGCAUACGACCUGAGGGUGAAAGCGGGGGAUCUUCGGACCUCGCGCUAUUGGAGCGGCUGAUGGCAGAUUAGCUAGUUGGUGGGGUAAAGGCCUACCAAGGCGACGAUCUGUAGCUGGUCUGAGAGGACGGCCAGCCACACUGGGACUGAGACACGGCCCAGACUCCUACGGGAGGCAGCAGUGGGGAAUUUUGGACAAUGGGCGAAAGCCUGAUCCAGCAAUGCCGCGUGUGUGAUGAAGGCCUUCGGGUUGUAAAGCACUUUUGGCGGGAACGAAAAGGACUGUGCCAAUACCACGGUUCGAUGACGGUACCCGCAGAAUAAGCACCGGCUAACUACGUG
rnacentral:rRNA from 1 species